AGAAGUUGCAUUAGCAUCUGGACAAUACCUGGAGCCUAUUCAAGAAUCUGAUUUUAGAGUUGCAAUUCAAGCCGAUAGUGAACCUAAAUUGAGCACUUCAAUUGUUGAUGGCAAGAUCCUUGAUGUCAAGAAUGGAAGACAAAAUCUGGAAUUAGAUAUGGGGUUUCAUAAAUGUUUUGUAGUUGAGAGGAGUCAAAAAGAAUGUUCCAAUGUUGACGUGAUAUCUAAUCUUGAUGAAGAUCAAGAAUUGCCAGUUCCUGUUUUCUGUAACUAUUUCAAGAAAUUCAUCUGAGGAAAAUGAUGAAGAUGGUGAUUUUGGCCAAUCAGAGUUUGCAAUGGGGGAAACAAGAGCUGAAUUUGCUCUUUGCUCAAGGACAAAAAGGAUGAUUAUGACUCAGAAAAACAUGGAGGAAGUUAUUAUUAAGAGGCCCAAGACUGCUGCAAAGAUACCAGGGAUUACAGAACUCUUUUAUAUAAUGGAAAAUCAUUUCUUGGCUGCUGAUGAUGCUAUUUUGUCAUUGACAUCAAAUGGCAUUGUGAGCUUGAAAAAAAAAGAAUGGGAAAUU
rnacentral:misc_RNA from 1 species